rnacentral:rRNA from 1 species
GGAGGGUGCAAGCGUUGUUCGGAAUUAUUGGGCGUAAAGGGCGCGUAGGCGGGCGUGAAAGUCGACUGUGAAAGCCCCGGGCUUAACCUGGGAACUGCAGCCGAUACUACAUGUCUUGAGUGCUUGAGAGGAUGGUGGAAUUCCUGGUGUAGAAGUGAAAUUCGUAGAUAUCAGGAGGAACAUCGUUGGCGAAGGCGGCCAUCUGGCAAGACACUGACGCUGAGGCGCGAAAGCGCGGGGAGCAAACAGGAUUAGAUACCCUGGUAGUCCGCGCCGUAAACGAUGGAUACUAGAUGUUCGGAGAGUUAACCCUCUGAGUAUCAAAGCUAACGCAUUAAGUAUCCCGCCUGGGGAGUACGGCCGCAAGGCUA